GUCUAAGUAUAAGCAAUUAUACCGUGAAACUGCGAAUGGCUCAUUAAAUCAGUUAUCGUUUAUUUGAUAGUACCUUACUACUUGGAUAACCGUGGUAAUUCUAGAGCUAAUACAUGCUAAAAACCCCAACUUCGGGAGGGGUGUAUUUAUUAGAUAAAAAACCAAUGCCCUUCGGGGCUCCUUGGUGAUUCAUGAUAACUUCUCAGAUCGCAUAGCCUUGUGCUGGCGACGGUUCAUUCAAAUUUCUGCCCUAUCAACUUUCGAUGGUAAGGUAUUGGCUUACCAUGGUUUCAACGGGUAACGGGGAAUUAGGGUUCGAUUCCGGAGAGGGAGCCUGAGAAACGGCUACCACAUCCAAGGAAGGCAGCAGGCGCGCAAAUUACCCAAUUCCGAUACGGAGAGGUAGUGACAAUAAAUACUGAUACAGGGCUCUUUUGGGUCUUGUAAUUGGAAUGAGUACAAUUUAAACCUCUUAACGAGGAACAAUUGGAGGGCAAGUCUGGUGCCAGCAGCCGCGGUAAUUCCAGCUCCAAUAGCGUAUAUUAAAGUUGUUGCAGUUAAAAAGCUCGUAGUUGAACCUUUGGCCUGGCUGGCAGGUCCGCCUCACCGCGUGCACUUGUCCGGCCG
rnacentral:rRNA from 1 species